rnacentral:lncRNA from 1 species
AGCCAUACAAGUACAAGUCACCACCACCGCCGCCAGUCUAUAAGUCUCCUCCACCACCGGUGUACAAGUACAAAUCUCCUCCCCCGCCGGUUUACAAGUACAAGUCACCACCACCGCCGCCAGUCUAUAAGUCUCCUCCACCACCGGUGUACAAGUACAAAUCUCCUCCCCCGCCGGUUUACAAGUACAAGUCACCACCGCCACCGGUGUACAAGUCGCCUCCUCCACCAACAAAGCCAUACAAGUACAAGUCUCCACCACCACCAGUCUAUAAGUCACCACCGCCACCGGUUUACAAGUAAAAACCCCCCCCGCCACCGGUGUACAAGUAUAAGUCACCGCCGCCUCCAGUCUACAAGUCUCCUCCGCCACCAGUUUACAAGUACAAAUCACCGCCGCCGCCAGUCUAUAAGUCACCACCGCCUCCAAUGAAGCCAUACAAGUACAAGUCACCACCACCGCCGCCGGUUUACAAGUCUCCUCCUCCGCCGGUGUACAAGUACAAAUCACCGCCGCCGCCAGUCUAUAAGUCACCACCGCCUCCAAUGAAGCCAUACAAGUACAAGUCACCACCACCGCCGCCAGUCUAUAAGUCUCCUCCACCACCGGUGUACAAGUACAAAUCACCACCGCCACCGGUUUACAAGUACAAGUCACCGCCGCCGCCGGUGCACAAACCACCUCCACAUUACAUCUCUGCGUCACCCCCUCCACCAUACCACGUCUAGAUGAGUCAACCCCCCAAGGUAAUACUACUAAUCAACAACUCAUAUCCAAUCACUGAAUAAGGGGCCGUUUGACAUAGAGAAAAUAUAUUUGUAUUUGUGGGAAAAUUAUUUAUUUUGAAAUUAACAUAUUUGCAUUAGUGACAAAUAUCACAAAUAUUUUUAGUUAUCAUUGGUUUAUCUUAUUCUGAAAAACAAUAACGUAAUUCUAAUUUCCUCAAAUAAAAAAUUUAGUUCUAUUAUUUAUGAAAUAUACAUAUCAAACAUUAUAGCCUAGCAAGUUUUUAUUAAUUAAUAAUACUGACCCCUCUCUCAACAACUCGAGCUAUUGGAGAUACGAUGAUCGAUUUUGGACAUGGUAUCAUAGAUUUAAAAAACCAAGAGGUCUCCUUUUCAAAUCCCGACAGUCUCCAUUCCGUACAUAUGACUUAUCGUGUGAACCUCAUUUCUUCUUAAAACUUCUGUCUGAAGGGCAUAUUAAUGAAUACUAUAUACAAAAUUGAUCUGAACCUUCCCCCAACAACUUACAAUGCAACGAUUCAUGACAAUUUUCUCGAUUUAGUACUCGAUACUCGGUACGAAACGGUGCCUUAAUUACUAACUUGUGUCUUGGUCCU